rnacentral:rRNA from 1 species
UACGGGGGGGGGCAAGCGUUGUUCGGAAUUACUGGGCGUAAAGGGCCAGUAGGCGGCCAACUAAGUCGGAUGUGAAAUCCCCAGGCUUAACCUGGGAACUGCAUCCGAUACUGGAUGGCUUGAAUUCGGGAGAGGGAUGCAGAAUUCCAGGUGUAGCGGUGAAAUGCGUAGAUAUCUGGAGGAACACCGGUGGCGAAGGCGGCAUCCUGGACCGGUAUUGACGCUGAGGCGCGAAAGCCAGGGGAGCAAACGGG